rnacentral:rRNA from 1 species
UACGUAGGUGACCAGCGUUGUCCGGAUUUACUGGGCGUAAAGAGCGCGCAGGCGGUCGUUCAAGUCGAGUGUGAAAGCCCCCGGCUCAACUGGGGAGGGUCACUCGAUACUGAUCGACUCGAAGGCAGGAGAGGGAAGCGGAAUUCCCGGUGUAGUGGUGAAAUGCGUAGAUAUCGGGAGGAACACCAGUGGCGAAGGCGGCUUUCUGGCCUGCUCUUGACGCUGAAGCGCGAAAGCUAGGGGAGCGAACGGG